UUGACCUCAAAUCAGGUAGGAUUACCCGCUGAACUUAAGCAUAUCAAUAAGCGGAGGAAAAGAAACCAACAGGGAUUGCCUUAGUAACGGCGAGUGAAGCGGCAAAAGCUCAAAUUUGAAAUCUGGCACCUUCGGUGUCCGAGUUGUAAUUUGAAGAAGGUAACUUUGGAGUCAGCUCUUGUCUAUGUUCCUUGGAACAGGACGUCACAGAGGGUGAGAAUCCCGUGCGAUGAGAUGUCUGAUUCUAUGUAAAGUGCUUUCGAAGAGUCGAGUUGUUUGGGAAUGCAGCUCUAAGUGGGUGGUAAAUUCCAUCUAAAGCUAAAUAUUGGCGAGAGACCGAUAGCGAACAAGUACAGUGAUGGAAAGAUGAAAAGAACUUUGAAAAGAGAGUGAAAAAGUACGUGAAAUUGUUGAAAGGGAAGGGUUUGAGAUCAGACUUGGUAUUUUGUAUGUCUUGCUUUCGGGUGGGGCCUCUACAGUUUACUGGGCCAGCAUCGGUUUGGACGGUAGGAUAAUGACAUUGGAAUGUGGCACCACUUCGGUGGUGUGUUAUAGACUUUGUUGAUACUGCCUGUCUAGACCGAGGACUGCGUCUUUGACUAGGAUGCUGGCAUAAUGAUCUUAAACCGC
rnacentral:rRNA from 2 species